AUUAGAACUGGAAGAGCUAUUACAAACCAUCCAGCUCAACCCUCUGGAUGUCCAGAUGGGAAACUGAGGCCCCCAGGGGCCCUCGAGAUGCCCAGCAGAGCCCCCUUCUCAGAUUCCUUCCCCCAAUGAGACCCUGGGGUGGAUGUAAAGGAAAGGUCCAGAGGUUGGGGGAACCCUAUGGGGGCCUUUGAGGCCUGGAAAACGGCCUGUGUUCCUGCGCUAGUGGGCAGGUGGCACAACUUUUCUUCAAGUCAAAGUGCCAGGUUUCUGAGGCCCCCCCCAGAGCCCAUCCCCCUCCCUGCUGCUCUGCUGCGCCCCUGCCAUGAGUCACCUUUCUCCAGAGCUGCAGUGGCCGCUGGAGGGCUGGCAAAGGCCCUGGCCUCUCAGGAGAGGAGGGACAGAUCCAACAGGAUCUCCAGCUGGAGCCUCUCCAUCCAGGGCCCUGCAGUGAGCCCUGAUCAAGGUUCAGAGAGGUUGAGAUGUUCAUCUAAGGUUGCACAGCCUGGAGAUGUCCUUAUCAGUGCCUUAUGGUGUUCGCUGGGUCUAGUCUGCCACUCUGAUGGCCCCAGGGAGGUGAGUGGGCAGCCCACAGGCUGAGCGUCAGGUGUCCUGGGUUCUUAGCCAGUCACCGCCUCAACCACACUCCGUGACCUUCAUCAAGUCACAUUCCCUCUCUAGCUUUACUUUCCCUGUCUCCUAAUAAGGCCUACCCCUCAGAGCCUGUGUAGAGGUCAAAGAAGACAACGUUGUGAAGUCAUUUUGCAAAGGGCUUAGGGAGGCCAUAUUUGAGAGGUUAGCACAGUGUAGUAGAGGCAGGCAGACGAG
rnacentral:lncRNA from 13 species